AAUCCAUACAAAGAACCCAUGGCUACAAUGCGUCCAGCAACUUUGCACAAGGACUUGGAGGGAGCGCUGUACUGUAUGUCUACUUGAGACCCCAGAAGAUCCUUCAGAGGUGUUGAUAAUAGAGAUGCACAGGAUCCAAGAUCCGGUUCCGGAUCCGGCAGGAUAAUAGGGUUUUUCAGACUAUCAGGAUCUUAAGCAGUGGAUCCGGUAAAAAUCAGGAUCUGGGGCAUCUCUACUUUUUACGUAGCCUAGGCUUUUCAGUCAGUCUUUCACAACCCCAAUCGCAUGGAGUGAUAAGAUAUUGGAAGAAGUUGAUAAGAUAUAAGGAUAAUGCUGUUGGCCCCAAGGAACAAACAGGCAGAGAGUACUGGAGCACAGGAACAUGGACAGCAUCAGUGGCACAAGUAUAUCUGGACACUUGUUGGUCCAUCCUGUGGAGUCCGACCGUAUCUGAAUGCUUGUGCUUGGGUCUCCCUGUUGAUGUGGACAUGGGUCCUAUGCUAGAGCCAUGCUGCUUCAGUGUGAAGACACGGUCACACUUUCAUCACUUCAUGAACAGACAUCAUCUUCUUCAAUCCUGGAUCUGUUCCCAAAUUAUGCAGUUUUGUGAUGGAUGGCUAGAUAGAUGUCUUCAGACUAAAGUGUCUCCUGCAGCAGAAUUUAAUAUUUCUCCAAGAAGACUCACCUCAGCAUGAAGGCCCUCAUUUGGCAGCAGGACACUGCAGAGGUCAGAUGGACUCCUGACUGCUCCUGUACUGGUCACACAUAGUAUGGGCCUCUUAUGGAAGUUAAAACUGAUGAGGUACUACUGGAUCAACAUCAUGCUCAGGACACUGAAGAGGUCAGAUGGACUCCUGAUUACUCCUACAUGUCAACACACACGUCACACAGCGUAUGUGGGCCAAUGGUGGAAGGUGAAACUGAUGAGGUGCCCAAUGAACAUCAUGCAGUGGUUUACCCAGGGAAGUGCUGACUUGGAUAUGAUCUUAAUAUUGCAACCCAGAGCCUCCAUGCUGCCAAGGACGUGGAUGGCCCAGGACCCCCCAUCUUAGACCUUCAGUGUGGAGAUGCUGUCAAAGGGUCCAUCACUGGCUGGCCUUGGCUUUUUUAAAUCCAGGUUUGGAUUUUCUUUUCAUCUGCUAAAUAUUAGGUUACUUGGGCCAUAGGUGCAUUUUGUUGCAGAAUAAACCUCACACCUGGUCAGGGGUCUGCAUAGUCCACCCUAGCUCCCAAACAACAUGCAUACCCCAGCACUGGAUUAUACUUGAUCAUAGAACAUUUCGGUUUUGGAUUAUUUUGUUGUUGUCGCAUUUUUCAAGCAAAAUGUGCACUACAGGGCAGAAUAAAUCCCUGCUCCACUUCUGAGGGAGUUGGGUAG